UUUAGCGGGAAUCCCAGGCCUUACUCUGGGCAGCUCAGAAGACAGCGCUAGCAGCGCUAGCAGCUAAUAGCAGGAAUUCACCAACAGACACAACGGCCACUCCACCAAACUCCACAGUCAACGACCAAUGACACAGCCAAAAAACAAAAAAGUCCAGAAAAAACUAAACAUCACAAAAAGACAAAAAAGACCAAAAACCAUUUGAUUGGUUCAAGGCACAGAAAAACAACAAGUCAGACAAAAAAAAGACCAUCAACACCCUAAGAAUAACCUAAAAAGGCUAUUCUUUGUGGAUCUACUGGCGACAUGCAAUCAUUCUUUCAGGUGCAUUUUGUAAAAAUAAAUAAAUAAAUAAUAAUAAAUGGCCUCGAAGGUGAAAAAAUAUUGUCACUCACUUGCUUGCUCCACUUUUUAGUGAAUGUGUGCACAAACAGGUGCCUCUGAGAUUUUUCCCUUUGUGACCUCAUGCAGGGAAAUAACCACUCCCUCCAGUAUUGGAUACUGCCUUUGACCUAUUCCCCAGAUAGAUGAGCCCACUCUCUAAAAUUACAGAGCGGGCACCAUUUUUUCUGCUCGCCAACCUUCACGGUAAAGGCACGAGCAAAGCACGGCCAUUGCUCUGUUGUUGGUUGCAUCAACGAGCACAGAAGUCUAUUUUACUCCCUUUAUCUGAGCCUCUGAAGACCCAGUAGAUCGAUUUUAUUUUUGCUGGAAAUGUACCAACUAAACUUCCCCAAGUUUUGCAUGUGUACACCCAGCAUUUCACAGAUGACUGAUUUCUAAACAUGGGUCCAUACAAAGCAGACUACUCAACAAGGUAUAUGACAUGAUGGACCUCAUAUUUGAAAAAGUCUUCGUGGACCCUACACCAUGCAAAAAGCACUGUUGGCCAUCCCUGUCAGGAAACUAUGCGGAUGCAUAGGACCCAGACCAAGAUUCUGCACGCCAGGAAGCCCCAGCACCAGCUCAUAAAACUCUGAUAGGCCAGUUACCUGUAACAAUUAAAAGCGGUGGACACAAUAUUAAGUAUUGCGGAGGUUUAUAAUCGGUGUGUAUCACACCUUUUCAAUGUACAUUGCCUGGUAGGUUAGCCCUUUGUUUAAAUUGUGACUCUUCUUUUUGCUCUGUAAAUAAAUACUUGAAAGUG